CGUGUCCGGUUUGAACUCAGAUCAUGUGCGGGGUAGAGGUCGAACAGACCUUGUGAAAAUAGCUUCUGCACUAUUUGUAGCCGCAAUUCAACAUCGAGGUCGCAAACAAUUAUUUUAAUAAGGGCUUAAAUAAUUAUAACGCUGUUAUCCCUAGAGUACCUUAUUCGUCUAAUUUAAUAAAGAUCAUUGUUAAUAUAAAUAGUCCUAUUUAAAUUUACCCCAAAUAAACUUGUGUACAAUUAUUACUUCAUUAAUUAAGUAAAGGUUCAUAGGGCCUUCUCGUCCAAA
rnacentral:rRNA from 1 species